UGGGGAAUAUUGCACAAUGGAGGGAACUCUGAUGCAGCGACGCCGCGUGAGUGAUGAAGGAAUUCGUUUCGUAAAACUCUGUUCUAUGGGAAGAAAAGGACUGUACCAUAGGAGAAAGCUCCGGCUAAAUACGUGCCAGCAGCCGCGGUAAUACGUAUGGAGCGAGCGUUGUCCGGAAUUAUUGGGCGUAAAGGGUGCGCAGGCGGCUUUACAAGUUGGAUGUGAAAUAUUGUGGCUCAACCACAAACGUGCAUCCAAAACUGCAAAGCUUGAGUUAAGGAUAGGUAAGUGUAAUUCCUGGUGUAGCGGUGGAAUGCGUCGAUAUCAGGAGAAAUACCGGUGGCGAAGGCGACUUACUGGACUUAAACUGACGCUCAGGCACGAAAGCGUGGGGAGCAAACAGG
rnacentral:rRNA from 1 species